GGACGAACGCUGGCGGCGCGCCUAACACAUGCAAGUCGAACGGAGUUUACAAGCGGAAGUUUUCGGAUGGAAGCUUGUAAACUUAGUGGCGGACGGGUGAGUAACACGUGAGCAACCUGCCUAUCAGAGGGAAAAGGAGCAAUCCGCUUUGAGAUGGCCUCGCGUCCGAUUAGCUGGUUGGUGAGGUAACGGCCCACCAAGGCGACGAUCGGUAGCCGGACUGAGAGGUUGAACGGCCACAUUGGGACUGAGACACGGCCCAAACUCCUACGGGAGGCAGCAGUGGGGAAUAUUGCACAAUGGAGGAAACUCUGAUGCAGCGACGCCGCGUGAGCGAUGAAGUAUUUCGGUAUGUAAAGCUCUAUCAGCAGGGAAGAUAAUGACGGUACCUGAGUAAGAAGCUCCGGCUAAAUACGUG
rnacentral:rRNA from 1 species